ACUUAUAAUAUUAAUUGAGAUACUUUUGACAUGAAUACACCGUUUGACUGUAAGAGUAGGUAUCUGAAGGAAUCGAUGAAUGAAUAGUUUUAACAGUAAAGAUGUAGGCACGUGAGCUCGUAACCAAUGUCAUCGUUUCUAACGGUGUCACGCCGAUAAAGUCAGUAACAGGUGGCAUUUUUACACUCUGUUACACUUAACGCGCUGAAAACGAUGCAGCAAUUGUGAGAUUUUUCAUCUGCAAAUGACGAAGGAAAUACAAUUUAGCUCGACUAUGUUGCGUUUGCGUCAAAAUCCCAUACAAAUCAGACCAUCGAAUGAAUCACUUACAAGCAAUAGUUAGAUCAUAAGAUGAAGUUAAUCGAGACGUUCAGCAAAUAUCGGCGUGACUUAGAGUUACUGAAAUCAGAGUAUGUACAUUACAGAGAAAAUACGGCUAAAUAGUAAAAGUCACAUGCUUGGACUCAAACGAUAGACAGGUGGUGAAACAGAUUAAACUAUUAUACUGUUAUUUUGCCGAAAAGAUUUAUUUUCAUCUUUGCUUACGACAUCUAUCCGUCAUUUCUGCAAUUGAGAGAGAAUUUUCAUCGACUAAUAAAAUAUGAUAACAGACGGAACUUAGCGUUUGAUAGUUUUUACAUUGCUGUCGUUAAGGAAGCAGAAAGAAAAUCUAAAAAAUGAUAUCAGGGCUAAAUGAACAAAGAUAAGUAGUUUAUCAUGGCGAUAAGUGGUAACUACAAUAAACAUAUAUAACACGGAGAAACUAGAAAUAAGUUAUUGAGUGACACACUGAGUGACACGAUGUUUGGAAAGUUAAGUGCACGCUUGAUCAUGGUGUUCUUGGUCUCGAUGCUGUUAGUCAUGGGCAUUGCUGUGCCAGGAACCCUUGCCAGAGAUGGAUUUCCUUACUAUGAUCAGACCCAGUUGAACGCAACUAUUGCAGCAUUGGUACACAGCAAUGGACCUGUG